rnacentral:rRNA from 1 species
UACCAGCACCCCGAGUGGUCGGGACGAUUAUUGGGCCUAAAGCAUCCGUAGCCGGUUCUACAAGUCUUCCGUUAAAUCCACCUGCUCAACAGAUGGGCUGCGGAGGAUACUAUAGAGCUAGGAGGCGGGAGAGGCAAGCGGUACUUAGUGGGUAGGGGUAAAAUCCGUUGAUCCAUUGAAGACCACCAGUGGCGAAGGCGG